GGCCCGUUGGUCUAGGGGUAUGAUUCUCGCUUUGGGUGCGAGAGAUCUCGGGUUCAAAUCCCGGACGAGCCC
rnacentral:tRNA from 1 species